GAUGAACGCUGGCGGCGUGCCUAAUACAUGCAAGUCGAGCGAACGGACGAGAAGCUUGCUUCUCUGAUGUUAGCGGCGGACGGGUGAGUAACACGUGGAUACCCUACCUAUAAGACUGGGAUAACUUCGGGAAAACUUAGCUAACACCGGAUAAUAUUUUGAACCGCAUGGUUCAAAAGUGAAAGACGGACUUGCUGUCACUUAUAGAUGGAUCCGCGCUGCAUUAGCUAGUUGGUAAGGUAACGGCUUACCAAGGCAACGAUGCAUAGCCGACCUGAGAGGGUGAUCGGCCACACGGGAACUGAGACACGGCCCAGACUCUGGCGGGAGGCAGCAGUAGGGAAUCUUACGCGAUGGGCGAAAGCCUGACGGAGCAACGUCGCGUGAGUGAUGAAGGUCUUCGGAUCGUAAAACGCUGUUAUUAGGGAAGAAGAUAUGUCUAAGUGACUGUGCAGAUCUUGACGGUACCUAAUCAGAAAGCGACGGCUAACUACGUG
rnacentral:rRNA from 1 species